CUUCUCCCAACUCCUCUUCAUCUUCUUCUUCUUCUUCUUCAUUCUCGUCUUCUUCAUCAACAUCAACAUAUUGAUUACCAACUGUCCUGGAAUAUGUAGCAUUCUUCACAGGAAGUUUUUGUCGAUUUGAAGAACCAUAACCCUGCUGGUGAUUCACACCAUAUGGGUUUGGGGGGUACCUUGCAUCAUCCUCAGUGUCAUCCAUUUUUAAGCACAAUUCAACCUCAAGAACGAGUCAACCUAAAAAAAAAACUCGCUUUACGAAUCCACUACAGCCUCUAAAUAACUUCAAAUUACCAAUUUUUCUUCACUUUAAAAUCCAACUCCUCCCAACACCAACUAUGAUUCCUUUCAUCCCCAAAGUAUCUCACUUUCCACUCCCAAUUUCAACUUCCCUGCUCUUCACCAAAUCAGUAUUCACAAGUCAACACACCGCAAAAGCUUCUGGUGCCAUAUUUAGUUCCACAAUUUUAUCGUGUAAUAUAAGCCCAGUCCCAGAAACAGCAAAAACCCAAGAAUAUUGCAAACAGAUAAUCUUACUUUUCACUUCCAGACGACCAAAUACACGAGAAACAUCGCACCAGACCCAAAAAAAUUAAAAUUUUAGAACAUAUAGUAAAAACAUAAAAUUAUAUAAUCCAUCAUCCACCAAAAAAAUUUUUUUUUUAAAUCUAGUUCAAGAUCACCAGACUCGCUUAUUCCAUAUCAAAUUCAAAUCUAGGAGAAACAAAGCCCUCAAUUUUUCUUUUUCAAAAGACCUCAAAUUUUUUGAGCUAAAAGUUACCAUUUCUUCUCUUCCCACAUGAUCAAAACCCCAUGAAAACAGAACCCAUCAUUCAAAAUAAACAAAAAAA
rnacentral:misc_RNA from 1 species